rnacentral:tRNA from 1 species
UAGCUCAUUUGGUAGAGCGUGGUGUUUGCAACGCCAGGGUUGUGGGUUCGAUUCCCAC